rnacentral:rRNA from 1 species
AUUGAACGCUGGCGGCAUGCCUUACACAUGCAAGUCGAACGGCAGCACGGGGCAACCUGGUGGCGAGUGGCGAACGGGUGAGUAAUGCAUCGGAACGUACCUUUCAGUGGGGGAUAACGUAGCGAAAGUUACGCUAAUACCGCAUAUUCUGUGAGCAGGAAAGCAGGGGAUCGCAAGACCUUGCGCUGAUUGAGCGGCCGAUGUCAGAUUAGCUAGUUGGGGAGGUAAAGGCUCACCAAGGCGACGAGCUGUAGCGGGUCUGAGAGGAUGAUCCGCCACACUGCAACUGAGACACGGUCCAGACUCCUACGGGAGGCAGCAGUGGGGAAGUUUGGACAAGGGGGGCAACCCUGAGCCAGCCAUGCCGCGUGAGUGAAGAAGGCCUUCGGGUUGUAAAGCUCUUUCGGCCGGGAAGAAAUCGCACGGGCUAAUACCCUGUGUGGAUGACGGUACCGGAAUAAGAAGCACCGGCUAACUACGUGCCAGCCGCCGCCGUAACAC